rnacentral:tRNA from 1 species
GCGGGGAUGCCAGAGUGGUCAAAUGGGCUUGGCUUAGGACCAAGUAGCUUAGUGCUUACACAGGUUCGAAUCCUGUUCCCCGCA